GAUGAACGCUGGCGGCGUGCCUAAUACAUGCAAGUCGAGCGAACAGACGAGGAGCUUGCUCCUCUGACGUUAGCGGCGGACGGGUGAGUAACACGUGGAUAACCUACCUAUAAGACUGGGAUAACUUCGGGAAACCGGAGCUAAUACCGGAUAAUAUAUUGAACCGCAUGGUUCAAUAGUGAAAGACGGUUUUGCUGUCACUUAUAGAUGGAUCCGCGCCGCAUUAGCUAGUUGGUAAGGUAACGGCUUACCAAGGCAACGAUGCGUAGCCGACCUGAGAGGGUGAUCGGCCACCCUGGAACUGAGACACGGUCCAGACUCCUACGGGAGGCCGCAGUAGGGUAUCUUCCGCAAUGGGCGAAAGCCUGACGGAGCAACGCCGAGUGAGUGAUGAAGGUCUUCGGAUCGUAAAACUCUGUUAUUAGGGAAGAACAAAUGUGUAAGUAACUAUGCACGUCUUGACGGUACCUAAUCAGAAAGCCACGGCUAACUACGUG
rnacentral:rRNA from 1 species